rnacentral:rRNA from 1 species
UACGUAGGGGGCAAGCGUUGUCCGGAUUUAUUGGGCGUAAAGAGCGUGUAGGCGGCCAGACAGGUCCGUUGUGAAAACUAGAGGCUUAACCUCUAGACGUCGAUGGAAACCGUUUGGCUAGAGUCCGGAAGAGGAGAAUGGAAUUCCUGGUGUAGCGGUGAAAUGCGCAGAUAUCAGGAAGAACACCCGUGGCUAAGGCGGUUCUCUAGUACGGUACUGACGCUGAGGCGCGAAAGCUAGGGGAGCAAACGGG